AGUUAAUGAACUUGUUAAAGUAUAUGUUUUGAAAGCAUAAAAAAGGAUUAAUACCCCUAUUAACUU
rnacentral:tRNA from 1 species